rnacentral:tRNA from 1 species
UGGCGGCGUAGCUCAGUAUGGUAGAGCAAGCGGCUCAUAUCCGCUGGGUCAGGGGUUCAAGUCCCUUCGCCGCUAU